CAGUCGCCACGGGAAUACGUAGGUGGCAAGCGUUGUCCGGAAUUAUUGGGCGUAAAGGGCUCGCAGGCGGUUUCUUAAGUCUGAUGUGAAAGCCCCCGGCUCAACCGGGGAGGGUCAUUGGAAACUGGGAAACUUGAGUGCAGAAGAGGAGAGUGGAAUUCCACGUGUAGCGGUGAAAUGCGUAGAGAUGUGGAGGAACACCAGUGGCGAAGGCGACCCUCUGGUCUGUAACUGACGCUGAGGAGCGAAAGCGUGGGGAGCGAACAGGAUUAGAUACCCCAGUAGUCCCUGUCUCUUAUAC
rnacentral:rRNA from 1 species